UUAUAAUCAGCACCAGAACAUGUGACAAUCCCCCACCGUCCGACGAUGGACUGAAAUGUGUUGGUUCCGAAACUGAAACAUCACUUUGCAACUUAGGAAAAUGUCCAGCAUCAUGCCAUCGUUCAAAGAAAAGACCAAUUGGACAAUAAAUCAGGAAAAACAGCAUAAAUUGAAAGCCAUGAACCAAAUACGAAUUGACAAAUUUGAUUGGAAAAACUGGAAACAAAGUGGAUCAAUUUCAUUCUUAUAUAAAAUGGAGGGACAAUUCUAAAUGGUUUAAAUUUUAUAAUCAUCAUUGUGGGAAAAUUCAUUAUAUGCUUUCGUAUGAAAUUCUUACUUUCGAUAUCUGAGAUACAAUCUGUGUUGUUUACUUUCUCGCAAGUGCGAACUUCCUAACUAUUACUUGUAUGUUUUGAAUUCAGUCAUUAGGUUAGAUAAGUUUUAACUUGACCUUUCAUAGCAUUGCACCUGUAAUGUAUAUGACAUUAAAUAUGUAAAGUGUGAGAAUAGACGUUUUUGUUUCUUAACGUUUGAUGAUAUUUUGUGGGAUAUACAUUAGUUACAUUUUAC